rnacentral:rRNA from 1 species
GGUUGCGAUCAUACCAGCACUAAUGCACCGGAUCCCAUCAGAACUCCGCAGUUAAGCGUGCUUGGGCGAGAGUAGUACUAGGAUGGGUGACCCCCUGGGAAGUCCUCGGGUUGCAACCC